UCCAAAGCAUGGUACUCAAGCUUCCCAGAUUUGGAUGGCUCACUCUGCACUCACUAGAAUGCACACACCAGGGCUAUCAUGUCACAAUAAAGCCGACGGAGGCAUCAGAUCACAUGCACACUAUGAGGGUUUCAAGACUCUAUUUAGGGACGUGACCAAUACCAUCUCUUCAGUAGGCAAAACCAUGGACGACAAGGAGGGGGAUAUUAAGGGGGAUAGACGGCUGUAUAUGGUGGAUUAUCGCAAACGAAAGAAAGCCAAAGCGACAACUGUUACUGAGGAUCCACAUUCAGAUGCAACCCCACAUACGAGGA